UGCAUAGUACUGUAUAGUGUGUGCAUAGUGUAGCAUAGUAAAAUCAAUUUUUUUUAGAAACUCAGCCGUUUACUCCCGUGAAAUUUUUUUCUGUGCAGUCCGUGAUUUUUCUUAAAUAGUAUCCUUCCAUUCUCCUAUAAAUAAGAUGCUCAGUUUAGAAAUAAAAAUCACACCAGAAUCAGAAAAUUCUUCUUCUAUAAUAUUGAGUGUAUUUCUAUAGAGUUUAAGGAAGUUUUGAGUGUAGAAAAUAGAGUAAGUUUUUUUCAAGAAUAUCCCCGCU
rnacentral:lncRNA from 1 species